CUUUGCCUUCUCCUUCCUCCCCGCCCCACCCACCGGCUCCCGCUGGCUCCCCCUCGACGUCCGCGACGGCCGUUUCCUCGUCUCGACCUCCAGUGCCCCCGGCGGCGACGUCGUUGUCUGCGACCCUUUGCACCGGCGGUACGUCCGGAUCCCCUCCAUCCCCGACGGCCUAACGUCCGACAUCCGCCGCAUCUGCAGGCGGCUGCAUUUCGACUAUUUCCUCGCUCCAUCCGCCGGCGACGGCGAGGAGGGGGAGGAUUCGUCAUUCGGAGUGGUGUGCAGAGCUUGGACGCGUGAUGUGUCCAUGGUCGCCGUCUCGUCUUCUCUUCCAGCGCCGGGAGCUGGCGUGCCGUCACAAUCGACGGCUACCGUCCCAGAUUCACGUUGUGCCGGUGCCAAUACGCGCAUGGCUGCUUCUACUAGUUUACCUCUUUGAGGGGAAAAUCACUCAUGCUCAAUGCUCGCGACAUGGAGAUUUCCAUUGUUGAAUUCCCUCAGAGCUGCUUUGGAAUUGGGCAGCAUGCCAUUGUGGAGGCUGGAGAAGGCAGGCUUGGGUUGUUUACCAUUGGUGAUUGCAAUUUGGACCUCCAUUCUAAGGCAAUUGGAGCUGGCGGCAUCGCCGGUGAUAAUGAGUGGCGGCACGAUAAGACCAUCCCAUUGCUGCCCAGAUACAAAUGGGAUAUUAUCAAUGCUGCCGAGGGGUUCUUACUCCUAAAAGGGUUUCCAUUGGACCACUAUCCGCCACGGUGGAUCCCUACCGAAAUACCUUGUUUCACACUGGAGCUUAAGACAUUGCUUCUCAAGAGGCUGUGUAUGCUGCAUCUCGGUGUUGUUUGUGAUGCCCUUCUCUUAUAUAGAAGCUUCCCGCCGCCGUUAUCACUUCCAAGCAUAUGAAAUGGACUAGGAUUAGCCAAGGGUGGGGGGCAGAGCCGCAGUGCAGCGUCUGUUGUUAACAUGUGUCUUAUGCCUUAAGGACACCAUGGAAGAUAUCAGCCUGCUACUGACGAUGAUGGGCAUGCAUCUAUCUAUAUGUACGGUACAACUAGCUUAGUUGAUCAGCUUUUCCAUAGUGGUUUAGCUUCUGAAGUCUUGCUCCUCCUUUUUGCCCUUAGACUGCAUUCUGGAACUAAAUAGCUAGUCUGCAAAGCAAGGCAUUCAGCCUCCCCGCACAAGCUAUAUAUUAUAUGCUAGUAGUAAAAAAAGAAAAAAAAAGUUUCGCAUUGUUCA